rnacentral:rRNA from 1 species
GCUUGCACCGCCUGAUUAGUGGCGAACGGGUGAGUAACACGUGAGUAACCUGCCCUCCACUUCGGGAUAACCUCGGGAAAUCGUGGCUAAUACCGGAUACGAGCACUCAUCGCAUGGUGAGUGCUGGAAAGAUUUAUCGGUGGGGGAUGGACUCGCGGCCUAUCAGUUUGUUGGUGAGGUGAUGGCUCACCAAGACGAUGACGGGUAGCCGGCCUGAGAGGGCGACCGGCCACACUGGGACUGAGACACGGCCCAGACUCCUACGGGAGGCAGCAGUGGGGAAUAUUGCACAAUGGGCGAAAGCCUGAUGCAGCGACGCCGCGUGGGGGAUGACGGCCUUCGGGUUGUAAACCCCUUUCAGUAGGGAAGAAGCGAGAGUGACGGUACCUGCAGAAGAAGCGCCGGCUAACUACGUGCCAGCAGCCGCGGUAAUACGUAGGGCGCAAGCGUUGUCCGGAAUUAUUGGGCGUAAAGAGCUUGUAGGUGGCUUGUCGCGUCUGCCGUGAAAACCCGAGGCUCAACCUCGGGCGUGCGGUGGGUACGGGCAGGCUAGAGUGUGGUAGGGGAGACUGGAACUCCUGGUGUAGCGGUGAAAUGCGCAGAUAUCAGGAAGAACACCGAUGGCGAAGGCAGGUCUCUGGGCCAUUACUGACACUGAGAAGCGAAAGCAUGGGUAGCGAACAGGAUUAGAUACCCUGGUAGUCCAUGCCGUAAACGUUGGGCACUAGGU